rnacentral:rRNA from 2 species
AGCUGAGGGUUAGUCGGGACCUAACGCGAACCCGAAAGGGGUAGUGGAUGGACAAUGGGUUAAUAUUCCCAUACUUGCUCACACUAAAAAGGGGACGGAGUGACGUAGCUACUGGAGACUGACGGAAUAGUCAAGACCUAGCCUUCGGGCGAAGUUGUUGUAGUGAACUCGCUUCCAAGAAAAGCCGAAGUGAAGCAACCCGUACCAAAACCGACACAGGUAGUCGAGGAGAGAAUCCUAAGGUGCUCGAGUGAGUCGUGGCUAAGGAACUAGGCAAAAUAGUCUCGUAACUUCGGAAGAAGAGACGCCAACAGCAAUGUUGGCCGCAGUGAAGAGGCCCAGGCGACUGUUUAUCAAAAACACAGGACUCUGCUAAAUCGAAAGAUGCUGUAUAGGGUCUGACACCUGCCCGGUGCUGGAAGGUUAAGGAAGGGCGUUAGCGUAAGCGAAGCGUUUGACUGAAGCCCCAGUAAACGGCGGCCGUAACUAUAACGGUCCUAAGGUAGCGAAAUUCCUUGUCGGGUAAGUUCCGACCUGCACGAAUGGUGUAACGAUCUGGGCACUGUCUCAACCAUGAGCUCUGUGAAAUUGUAGUAUCGGUGAAGAUGCCGAUUACCCGCAAUGGGACGAAAAGACCCUGUGAACCUUUACUAUAACUUCGUAUUGACUUUGAGUAAACAAUGUGUAGGAUAGGUGGGAGGCUAUGAAGCUGGCACGCUAGUGUUGGUGGAGCCAACGUUGAAAUACCACCCUUUGUUUACUUGGAGCCUAACUUCUACGGAAGGACAUUGCGUGGUGGGUAGUUUGACUGGGGUGGUCGCCUCCAAAAGAGUAACGGAGGCUUUCAAAGGUACCCUCAGCACGCUUGGUAACCGUGCG